UCCCCGCACAAGCAGCGGAGCGUGUGGUUUAAUUCGAUGCUACACGAAGAACCUUACCUGGGUUUGACAUAGAGGUAGUAGGGAAGCGAAAGCGGACCGACCUUCGGGGAGCCUCUACAGGUGUUGCAUGGCUGUCGUCAGCUCGUGUCGUGAGAUGUUCGGUUAAGUCCGCUAACGAGCGCAACCCUCGCUGUGUGUUACAAGUGUCACACGGUACUGCCGAUAUUAAGUCGGAGGAAGGUGGGGAUGACGUCAAGUCAGCAUGACCUUUAUAUCCAGGGCUACACACACGCUACAAUGGCCAGUACAAUGGGUUGCCAAGCCGCGAGGCGGAGCCAAUCCUAAAAAGCUGGCCUCAGUUCAGAUUGCAGUCUGCAACUCGACUGCAUGAAGUUGGAGUUGCUAGUAACCGCAGGUCAGCAAUACUGCGGUGAAUACGUUCCCGGGGAUU
rnacentral:rRNA from 1 species